rnacentral:rRNA from 1 species
CCAAUAGCGUAUAUUAAAGUUGUUGCAGUUAAAAAGCUCGUAGUUGAAUUUCGGGGUCUGUCCAUCGGUCGGGCUUCACGGUCCGUACUGGUGAGAUGGGUUCCUACCUUCUGAAUAACCGGCAUGCCAUUCAGUUGGUGCGCCGGGGAAGCAGAGCUAUUACCUUGAAAAAAUUAGAGUGCUUAAAGCAGGCUAUUGCUUGAAUAGAUUAGCAUGGAAUAAUAAAAUAGGACGGCAUGGUUCUAUUUUGUUGGUUUCUAGGAUCACCGUAAUGAUUAAUAGGGAUAGUUGGGGGCAUUAGUAUUCAAUUGUCAGAGGUGAAAUUCUUGGAUUUAUUGAAGACUAACUUCUGCGAAAGCAUUUGCCAAGGAUGUUUUCAUUAAUCAAGAACGAAAGUUAGGGGAUCGAAGACGAUCAGAUACCGUCGUAGUCUUAACCAUAAACUAUGCCGACUAGGGAUCGGACGAUGUUAAUUUUUUAAUGACUCGUUCGGCGCCUUACG